CCCUUAGAUGUCCUGGGCCGCACGCGUGCUACACUGACGCCUACAGCGAGUACUUCCCAGCCCCGGGAGGUGGCUGGUAAUCAGCAAUAGGCGUCGUGAUGGGGAUAGAUCUUUGGAAUUAUGGAUCUUGAACGAGGAAUGCCUAGUAAGCGCAGGUCAUUAGCCUGCGCUGAUUAAGUCCCUGCCCUUUGUACACACCGCCCGUCGCUCCUACCGAUUUCGAGUGGUCCGGUGAAUCUUUCGGACUGCGCGCGGCCUCGUGCCGUGUCGCGGAAAGUCAGGUAAACCUUAUCACUUAGAGGAAGGAGAAGUCGUAACA
rnacentral:rRNA from 1 species